GCCGGAGUAGCUCAGUCAAUAGGGCGUGUGGCUCUUAAUCUCAGGGUCAUGGGUUUGAGCCCCACAUUGGACA